rnacentral:rRNA from 1 species
GUCUCAGUUCAGAUUGUAGGCUGAAACUCGCCUAUAUGAAGUCGGAAUUGCUAGUAAUCGCGGAUCAGCGAUGCCGCGGUGAAUACGUUCCCGGGCCUUGUACGCACCGCCCGUCACACCAUGAGAGUCGAUAACACCCGAAGCCUGUAGUCUAACAGCAAUGAGGACGCAGUCGAAGGUGGGAUUGAUAAUUAGGGUGAAGUCGUAACAAGGUAAC